GAAUUUGUGGGAGGAGUAAGUCCCCUACUUAAACUCCCAGCCCCUACUCACCUCUGCCGGUCCAGUUGAUUGUCUAUCUCCAUAGCAACCAGCACUUCCGGUCCGAGUUUCCCGCCAAACAGCUCCAGUCUCCUGCAGUAAGAGGUGUCCAGUGGAAUCCUCUGUCCGUUCUGCAGCCCUGCCACCCGUCUUCUUCCCGGCCGUGGUACUUGGCUUCCGGUCAUGAGACCGGCACGCUCGCGUAAGCUAGUGAGGGAAAUAGCGUUCAGGUAUUUCCCUCUGUUCGGGCCUAAAAACGUAGUGGUAGGCUCGCUUUUUCUCUCACAUUACCAGUUCAC